rnacentral:tRNA from 1 species
GGGCGGUUAGCUCAGCUGGUUAGAGCGCUUCCCUUACAAGGAAGAGGUCACAAGUUCGAGUCUUGUACCGCCCA